GACGAACCGUCCUAACGUUGUUCGGAAUCACUGGGCUUAAAGCGCGUGUAGGCGGCCCUGCAAGUCGGAUGUGAAAUCCCACGGCUCAACCGUGGAAGUGCAUUCGAAACUGCAGGGCUAGAGUCCUGGAGAGGAAGGUGGAAUGCUUGGUGUAGAGGUGAAAUUCGUAGAUAUCAAGCGGAACACCGGUGGCGAAGGCGGCCUUCUGGACAGUGACUGACGCUGAGACGCGAAAGCGUGGGGAAGCAAACAGGG
rnacentral:rRNA from 1 species